rnacentral:lncRNA from 1 species
GACACUUUCUCUCUUCUACUCUUAACAGUAAGCACUACUAAGUUUACUUGUUCAUUAUCAUCUCUUGCUUUGAUUUUCUUGGAUUUCUUGAGAAGAUUUUGUUUCAUAUAAUUUUGCUUCAAUGAUUUGAUUCUUCUUAAUUUAUAUCUGAAUUUUUGAUAUUAUUAUUUUUUUGUUCAACGAUUUCUUCUGAUCCAAGUUAAAAUUUUCCCGGAUUUGUGCAAGAUGAGCAACGGUUACAGUUUUUAGAAUGACGAAUAUAAUGGCCCAAUUUGCCCGGGCCCAACUAAAUUGAUCAGCCCAAACAAAUCCAAAUAAAUAAAACCAAAACAAAAAAAUAUUAAUAGCCCAAAUCAAAAAAUAAUAAAGUCCAGUCCAAAUUACAAAAAAAAACUAAGCCCAAAUGGCCCAAAAUUUUAAAAAUUUUCAGCAAAGAAAAAGGCAGAAGAAACCCUAGCCGCCCCUAGGUCCUCUGCCAUGCCAGUCUUUUGACAUCUGCCACCGCCUGUAGCACGCUUCCUCCACCUGCUCCCUUUGUUGACCACGCCUAACCCUACAAAACAGGACAGAAGGAGAAAGAGGUUAGGCUAUGUAAUCGGCUAUAAAAAGCCACGAAUGUUGUCAAUGUAAUUUUUACAGAGGAAAAAUCAAUAAAAAAAAAGAAAUAGAUAGUUCAAAAAAAAAACAAAAAAGCAAUAGCAAAGACAGAAAAUUAGAUCUACCAAGGUGGUUAUAUUUUUCUUUCUUUUUCUUUUCGAAACUGUUUAUGUAUAUAUAUAAAAAAAAUCAUUUUUUAAACUAUAUACAUAUAUGAAAAUAGAGUAUAAAAAAACUUACCUUUUGGAGUUCUGGCCGCCAUGUACGGUGGUCGACGGCAGUGGACCAAGGCGGCCGACGACCAGUCCGGCGACCAGAUUCAUGAGAGGAGGAGAGGGUUUCAGAGAAUCCUCUGAAAUUUUUGAAAAGAAAUAAAAGGAAAAUGUUUUUUUCUUCUUUCAAAUUUUUGGUAUUUAUAUAGGGACUAAACAGCGCCGUUUUGGA